rnacentral:rRNA from 1 species
CCCAUCGCUGCCGACGACGCCUUGUCGGUUCGUUUUUGCUUUAAUAGUUUACCUAAAGUCAGGCCCCAAGGACUGAAACAACGCACUCCAAGUCGCGCGCACCACGCAGAGGAGGUGCGUGAGGGUCUAGCUUUUUAGGUUUUCUUGGACGUAGGCAGGUCGUCUAAUUAGGUCCGCCUCAUGAUGAGGCACCCGAGCUGGUCAGUGUCCUCUCUAACUGAACAUUUAGUGAGCUUCUACUACUAGCUUGGUUGUUCGUUUAAAUAAUUGCUUUGGUGGAUUGGUCAAACCGGUGAUGAGAGAGAGAGAGAGAGAGAGAGAGAGAAAGGGUGGCAACGGUAAGGGUGCGAUUCGUAGGUCAUGCAUGCAGCAGGAGUUGCGAAAGCCAGCGUGGCAGUGGAAGAAGAUCGAGAUCGAGAUCGAUUUCGAAGGAGGGGGGCCUACCACGCGCUUGGUGUAGUAGGAGGUGAUGCAUGUGUUGAAUAUAUAGUGGUAGUUGUAGUUGUAGACGUCAGAUAGGGAGGUAGAGGCAUGGCGCUUCUUGGGAAGACGAAAAAGAAAUGGUCUUCUAUUUAUUAGAUAGAGUAGAACCAGCUAUUCAUUAUUCAAUGGUUUGUACUGUUGUCGAAAAGUAGUUGGAAACUACAUGUUACCUGCACGCACGUGUUAGCGCAAACAACUAAAGAGCAGCACACUCUUCUUAUACAGCAAACCACCUCUUUUCUUUUUUACCGCCGGGUUUGCUUGCUUGUGGAGCUAUCGUUCAAGUUUCUGGCCCCUGUUCCGCGCAUGCAUUCGAAAAGCAGGACGAGACGAGACCCUGCACCUGUGCAUACCACCCAAAGGCGACCUACGGAGCGCCCUCACGCACCGUCCGGGGCGGCCACUGCCGCUGUUCGUGCUCGUGCGCGUGGCCUCUCUGGCUGCCUCUCGUGCGCGCGCAGUGGCCGGCAGCGGCGCGCCGAAGCCCCUCUCCUAGGUCACGACCGGCACCCCGGCCUGCCACUCGGGGAACUGGGACCGCUUGUCGCAGUGCCGCGCGGCCUGCGGCGCCAGCAGCCGCCGGCACUUCAUCAGCACCGGCUUGUACUGCGGCGGCCCCGCGUCGUGCCGGGUCCGGUCCAACUACAGCCGGGUGCGGCUCACCUUCAGCACCGGGCGCAGGUGGAGCUACUCCAGGCGCAUGUGCGGGGUGGCCGUGUCGCGGGGCUCGCACCUGCGGCACCUCUUCCCGUCGCCGUCGUGGCGCCGGCGCCGGAGCCCGGGGCGGCGGUCGUGCAACCGGUACUUGACGCCGUCGUCGUCGCGCAGCGGCACGGCGACGACGCCCUGCAGCGCCGCCUUCGCCGGCGCCUUCCGGCCGGUCGGCGCCUUCAGCAGCUGCGUCUCCUACCGGCCCCUGUCGCUGUCCAAGGCCCGGUGCCGGCGGUACACGUCGCGGCUCCGCGGGUCCUUUCGCGGGUCGAGGUGCUAGUGCAGCCCCGCGUGGAGGAGCUACUCCAGGCGCUUGUGGCGGGGGCAGCUGGGGGUGGGCGCCCCGGCGCGGCGGCGGCCCACGUCGUCGCGCCGGCACACGCGGCCGCCCUUCGAGCGCAUGCCCGAGAGCGGCAGCUUGUCGAACAGUUCUUCGCAGAAGUGGUGCAGGUGGCGGCCGUGGCCGAGGGGCGUGAAUAGGGGCUUGGCCUUGUCCAGCACGCCGCCGCUGGCGCCCAUCCGGCGCGGGCACGGGCACGGCAAGCUGCUGCGGCACUGCGGCGAGCUCCUACGGCGCCACUCCACGCGCCGCACGCCGGCAUACUGGCAGACGCUGCCGAACCCGCACCUGCCCGCCCACCUGCUGCUCUGCUACGGCUCGCUCAUAGGCUGCCUCUUCUGUUAGUCCUUCCGACACUGGGCUCCUUCCACGCCCGCCUCGGAGCGGCCGUGUGGCCGGCGGCGGCGGCCUUCGGGUGCGCCGAAGUACUAGUGCGUGGCCGUGCGUGCGCGUGGAAGGACGACAUCCGAGCAUAAGAAUUGGCCCUUUUAGAGUUGAAAGAUAAGGCACCCUCUAGUCCUAGGACCUCCAACCAAGCCCUGCAGCGUAAAUAUCUACCUAUCUAUCGCCCUCGGCUCCCCGGCAAUCGAACUGCGGAACACGAGGGGAACAAAGCCCCCUUCUCUCUACUCUAGUCUAUACUAUACGUGCUUGCUUUGCUCUCUACCCCUCUUUCAAAACUAGAAAACACACACAACCACUCCCCACUGACGAGACGAGACGAAACUGCCCAACCACUCCACACCCACCACUUAGACUAGUGCCAAUCAAAUC